rnacentral:rRNA from 1 species
UAAUACGUAGGGUGCUAGCGUUGUUCGGAAUUAUUGGGCGUAAAGCGCGUGUAGGUGGUUUGUUAAGUCAUGUGUGAAAUCCCUGGGCUCAACCGAGGAAGUGCACGUGAAACUACCAAGCUAGAGGACGGCAGAGGAUGGUGGAAUUCCUAGUGUAGAGGUGAAAUUCGUAGAUAUUAGGAGGAAUACCGGCGGCGAAGGCGGCCAUCUGGGCCGUUCCUGACACUGAGACGCGAAAGCGUGGGUAGCAAACAGGAUUAGAUACCCUGGUAGUCCACGCUGUAAACGAUGGGUACUAGGUGUUGCGGGAAUUGACCCCUGCAGUGCCGACGCUAACGCAUUAAGUACCCCGCCUGGGAAGUACGGCCGCAAGGUUA